AUUCCAUGAUGAGGGCAUUUCUGUAAUAGCUCUUUGUAUCAUUUCCAUGCCUCAUACAAGGACUCAUCAUCCAUUUGUUGGAAAGUAGUGAUCUCGUUCCUCAACUU
rfam:Gossypium hirsutum cultivar TM-1 chromosome 11, whole genome shotgun sequence